rnacentral:rRNA from 1 species
GACGAACGCUGGCGGCGUGCUUAACACAUGCAAGUCGAACGGAAAGGCCCUGCUUUUGUGGGGUGCUCGAGUGGCGAACGGGUGAGUAACACGUGAGUAACCUGCCCUUGACUUUGGGAUAACUUCAGGAAACUGGGGCUAAUACCGGAUAGGAGCUCCUGCUGCAUGGUGGGGGUUGGAAAGUUUCGGCGGUUGGGGAUGGACUCGCGGCUUAUCAGCUUGUUGGUGGGGUAGUGGCUUACCAAGGCUUUGACGGGUAGCCGGCCUGAGAGGGUGACCGGCCAAAUUGGGACUGAGAUACGGCCCAAACGCCUACGGGGGGAAGAGGGGGGAAAUUUUGAACAAUGGGGGGAAGCCUGAUACAACAACGCCGGGUGCGGGAUGGGGGCUUUGGGGUUGUAAACCGCUUUCGCCUGGGACGAAGGGGGGGGGCAGGAAAUGGGUAAAGAAGCACCGCCUAACUAGGG